GACAGAGGGUGCAAGCGUUGUUCGGAAUUACUGGGCGUAAAGGGCGCGUAGGCGGUCCGCUAAGUUCGGCGUGAAAUCCCCUGGCUCAACUGGGGAACGGCGCUGGAUACUGGUGGACUCGAGUACCGGAGAGGAGAGUGGAAUUCCUGGUGUAGCGGUGAAAUGCGUAGAUAUCAGGAGGAACACCGGUGGCGAAGGCGGCUCUCUGGACGGAUACUGACGCUGAGGCGCGAAAGCGUGGGGAUCAAACGGG
rnacentral:rRNA from 1 species